CAUCCCUACGGGGGGCAGCAGUGAGGAAUAUUGGUCAAUGGGCGAGAGCCUGAACCAGCCAAGUCGCGUGAGGGAAGACGGCCCUACGGGUUGUAAACCUCUUUUGUCAGGGAGCAAGAACGGAUACGUGUAUCCGAGCGAGAGUACCUGAAGAAAAAGCAUCGGCUAACUCCGUGCCAGCAGCCGCGGUAAUACGGAGGUGGCAAGCGUUAUCCGGAUUUAUUGGGUGUAAAGGGCGUGUAGGCGGGAGCGCAAGUCAGAUGUGAAAACUCAGGGCUCAACCCUGAGCCUGCAUUUGAAACUGU
rnacentral:rRNA from 1 species